rnacentral:lncRNA from 1 species
GGUUACCAAGGCAGGGGAGGGAGGAGGAGGGGGAGGAGGAGGGGGAGGAGAAGAGGAGGAGGGGAAGAAGGGGGAGGAGGAGGAGAAGAGGAGGAGGGGGAGGAGGGAGAGGAGGAGGAGGAGGGGGAGGGGGAGGGGGAGGAGGAGGGGAAGGAGGAGGGAGAGGAGGAGGGAGAGGAGGAGGGAGAGGAGGAGGGAGAGGAGGAGGGAGAGGAGGAGGGAGAGGAGGAGGGAGAGGAGGAGGGAGAGGAGGAGGGAGAGGAGGAGGGAGAGGAGGAGGGAGAGGAGGAGGGAGAGGAGGAGGGAGAGGAGGAGGGAGAGGAGGAGGGAGAGGAGGAGGGAGAGGAGGAGGGAGAGGAGGAGGGGGAGGAGGGGGAGGAGGAGGGGGAGGAGGAGGGAGAGGAGGAGGGGGAGGAGGAGGAGGGGGAGGGGGAGGAGGAGGGAGAGGAGGAGGGAGAGGAGGAGGGAGAGGAGGAGGGAGAGGAGGAGGGAGAGGAGGAGGGAGAGGAGGAGGGAGAGGAGGAGGGAGAGGAGGAGGGAGAGGAGGAGGGAGAGGAGGAGGGGGAGGAGGAGGAGGGGGAGGAGGAGGGAGAGGAGGAGGGAGAGGAGGAGGGAGAGGAGGAGGGAGAGGAGGAGGGAGAGGAGGAGGGAGAGGAGGAGGGAGAGGAGGAGGGAGAGGAGGAGGGAGAGGAGGAGGGAGAGGAGGAGGGAGAGGAGGAGGGAGAGGAGGAGGGAGAGGAGGAGGGGGAGGAGGAGGAGGAGGGGGAGGAGGAGGGAGAGGAGGAGGGAGAGGAGGAGGGAGAGGAGGAGGGAGAGGAGGAGGGAGAGGAGGAGGGAGAGGAGGAGGGAGAGGAGGAGGGAGAGGAGGAGGGAGAGGAGGAGGGGGAGGGGGAGGAGGGGGAGGAGGAGAGAGGGAGACACAGAAUCCGAAACAGGCUCCAGGCUCCACGCUGUCAGCACAGAGCCCGACGCGGGGCUCGAACUCACAGACCGAGAAGAUCAUGAACCCUGAGUGAAGUCGGAACGCUCAACCGACUGAGCCGCCCAGG